AAUAUUUCAAAAUGGGGGAAACCCUGAUGCAGCGACGCCGUGAGAGUGAAGAAGUAUUUCGGUAUGUAAAGAUCUAUCAGCAGGGAAGAAAAUGACGGUACCUGACUAAGAAGCCCUGGUUAACUACGUGCCAGUAGCCGCGGUAAUACGUAGGGGGCAAGCGUUAUCCGGAUUUACUGGGUGUAAAGGGAGCGUAGGUGGCGAGUCAAGUCAGAUGUGAAAGCCCGGGGCUCAACCCCGGGAUUGCAUUUGAAACUGGUUUGCUAGAGUGCAGGAGAGGUAAGUGGAAUUCCUAGUGUAGCGGUGAAAUGCGUAGAUAUUAGGAGGAACACCAGUGGCGAAGGCGGCUUACUGGACUGUAACUGACACUGAGGCUCGAAAGCGUGGGGAGCAAAC
rnacentral:rRNA from 1 species